rnacentral:rRNA from 1 species
AACGAACGCUGGCGGCAUGCCUAACACAUGCGAGUCGAACGAGACCUUCGGGUCUAGUGGCGCACGGGUGCGUAACACGUGGGAAUCUGCCCUUUGCUUCGGAAUAACAGUUAGAAAUGACUGCUAAUACCGGAUGAUGUCGAAAGACCAAAGAUUUAUCGGCAAAGGAUGAGCCCGCGUAGGAUUAGGUAGUUAGUGGGGUAAAGGCCUACCAAGCCGACGAUCCUUAGCUGGUCUGAGAGGAUGAUCAGCCACACUGGGACUGAGACACGGCCCAGACUCCUACGGGAGGCAGCAGUGGGGAAUAUUGGACAAUGGGCGAAAGCCUGAUCCAGCAAUGCCGCGUGAGUGAUGAAGGCCUUAGGGUUGUAAAGCUCUUUUACCAGGGAUGAUAAUGACAGUACCUGGAGAAUAAGCUCCGGCUAACUCCGUG